CCAUUAUGGUUUAUCACAGGAUACUGACUGUAGUUCCUUGUGCUAUAGAGUAGGGCUUUGUUGUUUCUCCAUUCUCUAUAUAAUAGUUUGCAUUGGCUAAUCCCAAAAUCCCAAUCCAUCUCUUCCCAACUUCCCCCAUCCUUGGCAACCACAAGUCUAUGCUCUAUGUCUGAGUCUGUUUCUGUUUCAUAGAUAAUUUCAUUUGUGUCAUAUUUUGUUUCUGGCUGCACCUACAGAAAGUGAAAGUUCCCAGGCCAGGGAUUGAACUCACGUCGAAGUUGCGACGUGAGCUGCAGUGAUGACAUUGCUGGAUCCUUAACCCACUGUGCCACCAGGGACACUGUGCCUCCUAGUUGUGUUAUAGUUCAGAUUCCACAUGUAAGUGAUAUCAUAUGGCAUUUGCCCUUCUCUUUCUGACGUACUUCACUUAGUACGAUCAUCUCUAGCUCCAUUCAUGUUGCCGAACAUGGCAUUAUUUCAUUCUUUUUUAUGGCUGAGCAUUCUAUUGUGUGUGUGUACGUGUGUGCAUGUGUGUGUGUGUGUGUAUACUUUAUCCAUUCAUCUGUUGAUGGAAAACAUUUAGGUUGUUUGCAUGUCUUAGCUAUUGCAAUAGUGCUGCAAUGAACAUUGGGGUGCUUGUAUCUUUUUGAAUUAUAGUUUUGCCUGCAUACACGUCCAGGAAUGGGAUCAUACGGCAACUCUAUUUUUAGUUUUUUUGAGGAAACUCCAUACUGUUUUAUACAGUGGCUGUGCCAGUUGACAUUCCCCAACAAUGUAGGAGGGUUCCCUUUUCUCCACACCAUUUAUUUUAUAGACUUUUUAAUGAUGGCCAUUCUGACCUGUGUGGAGUGUUACCUCAUUAUAUUUUUGCUUUGCACUUCUCUAAUAAUAGUGAUGUUCAGCAUAUUUUCAUGUGCUUAUGACCAUCUAUAUGUCUUCUUUGGAGAAAAGUCUAUUUAGGUCUUCUGCUUGUUGUUUGACUGUUUUGUUGUUGUUGUUAUUACUGAGUUGUAUGAGCUGUUUGUAUAUUUUGGAAAUUAAGCCCUUAUUGGUCGCAUCAACUGCAAAUAUUUUCUCCUAUUCUGUGGGUUUCCUUUUUAUUAUUUAAUUUGCUGUGCAGAAGAUUAUAAGUUUGAUUAGAUCCCACUUGCUUAUUUUUGCUUUUAAUUAUAUUGCCUUUGGAGACUGACCUAAGAAAACAUUGGGAGUUCUUGUCAUGGCUCAGCGAUAACAAACCCAACUAGCAUCCAUGAGGACUCAGUUUCGAUCCCUGGCCUUGCUCAGUGGGUUAAAGAUCCAACAUUGUGGUGAGCUGUGAUAUAAGUCACAGAUGUGGCUGGGAUCACACAUUGCUGUGGCUAUGGUGUAGGCUGGCAGCUACAGCUCUGGUUUGACCCCUAGCCUGGGAACUUCCAUAUGCUGUGGGUGUGGCCCUAAAAAGGCAAUAAUAAUAAUAGUAAUAAUAAAGAAAACAUUGAUAGGAUUUACAUCAGAGUAUUUUGCCUAAGUUCUCUUCUAACAGUUUUAUGACAUCUUUUUUUUUUCUUUCUUUCGUCUUUUGUCUUUUUUAGGGCCACAACUGUGGCAUCUGGAGAUUCCUAGGCUAGGGGUCUAAUCGGAGCUAUUACUGCUGGCCUACACCAGAGUCACAGCAAUGCCAGAUCUGAGCCGAGUCUGCGAUCUACACCACAGCUCAUGGCAACACCAGAUCCUUAACCCAUUGAUCGAGGCCAGGGAUCGAACCCGAAACCUCAUGGUUCCUAGUUGGAUGGUUUCCACUGUGCCACAAUGGGAACUCCAAGUUUCAUGAUGUUUUAUAUUUAAGUCUUUAAGGCAUGUUGAAUUUAUUUUUGUAUAUGGUGUGAGGGUGACUACACUAUUGUUACCUGACUACUCCUCCUUCGUUUCAGGAUCCCCUCCCUUCCCUGAUUAGCAACUGUUUGAAUCUGCCCUUUGAAGCUCAGAGAGAUCUAGGAGGCUGAAUGAAGCCUCUUUCCUGCAAAGGAGAAAUGGGGGACACAGAAAGGACUUGUACCUGGGAGGGCCUCACAGGGUCGUCCUGCUCAGUUUCACUACUGCUGUAAAGGCUGGAUGGAUGCAAUUGUUCCUGCAAACCAAGAACCACUGAUAAGUGUACUGAGCCCCUCAGAACCGAAAGACUAAAAGGAAGUCUUGGAUAUAGAACAAUUGUCUUGCUGUGUAACCAGCACCAGUGGCACUUAUUGCUGUUGCUAUAUUAUAUGUUUUUCUUGCAAAACUGCAGAUUGGAAAAUACUAUCACUUUGGGUCCUGGAAAUGUCCCUUAGCAAUUGGAACCUGUCACUACUGGAAACACCAAUGGCAGAGACGUUCAGGGUCUUGUGAAGAUUAGGUACAAAUCGUGACUCUUAACUGUUGUCAAUAAACAAUGCUAACAAGCUAGUAAAGACUUUCCUGAAAUUCCUUGAACCCAUGUGUUCAGAGCAAGAUUAUAAUCAUAUGUAUCAUGCCUGGACUAGGGAAAAGGCUUCUGGGUAGAUCUUUUACUUAAUAAAAUAAUUCAGGCCAAUUCUAGUCUUGCUAGAAUUAACCCUUGAACAGCCUGAGAAAUAAGAUGGCCUGGCAUGGAGAUUUGACAUUAGAUUUGGGAUGGAUUGUUUUUUCAAAAGUCAGCAGCCCUUCAUAGAGUGACUGAUCCAUUAACAGAUGCAGCUUUUAGAGGUCCCUUUGUGGCACGAUAGGAUUGCAGUGUCUCUGCAGUGCCAGGACACAGGUUCGAUCUCUGGCCUGGCACAGAGGGUUAAAUGAUCUGGCAUUGCCACAGCUGCAGUGUUGGUCCCAACGGCAGCUCAGAUCUGAUCCUUGGCCUGGGAACUCCAUAAGACAUGCGUGUAGCCAAAAAAGAAAAAACAACCCCCCAAACAGAUGCAGCUUUUAGAUCACACUGUUGCUUGCAUAUCCAUUGCGCAGCUAUGACUGUAUCUAUGCAGAGAGAAUCCAUCAGGAGCAUCCUGGGACUUGAAGGACAUAGUUGUGAAUUGUUCAUUUAAAUGCAAAUUAGAUUCACCAGCUGUUGCUGCUACUAGUAUUAGCAACCCUAAGGAGAUAUUUUAUCCUAGCAACCACAGAGGAUAUAGAUAACAAAUUUUAUUUUUAUGAAGAAAAAAAAUGGUCAGAAAGCAUAGGAGCAACCUUUCAUUCAAAUUCACCUAUUUCACAACAGAAAUCCUUUUAAGCAGAAUUUUAAAAAGCCAUAAUCAAUUGCUUCAAAAGAGUUUGCAUAAUAACUAUCAUUACCAUAUGGGUGAAGUCAGCAUUCUAUAAUAAUAUUUGGUAGGUUCUAUUUUAGGCAGUGAUUUUAUUUUAUAUGUUAACAAAAACUGUAUGAGUGAGUCAAUAAUUUAACCUUCAGCUUAAACUUGUCAAUGUUGAUAAAGCCAAAUAUGCAUGACUGUCUUUAAUUUAACCAAAAUUACUUUUAGAUUGUUAACUUGGUCUUCUAUUUUACUUGGCAAAUAUUUAUUUCAUUGCCAAUAGUCCCCUUGGAAAAUUUAUCAUCAAAAUAUUUGAAAACAUUUUGCUUUCUGACAGACUUGAACUCUAGAUGGAACAGGAGAGAAAAGAACAGAUAUAACCUUUCAAAGAAUGAUGUAGCCAUUGAGGAUACAACAAAAAUUGGUUAGAACUAUUGGCCCAAGAUGGUGGAAGAUUUGACUUCCAGUAGACCUCGAGCCUCCUUAUACCUUCAUUGUGAUGUGUUAACAUGCUAAAUUACAUGUUCACAGGUGCCAUUGCAGUUCAGAGGCUAACCCGGAAGACCAAAGGUGGUGCCCCAAUUCCUGGAAAUCUCCACUGCUUCUCCAAAAUCAUUGAAAUAAUCCUCCCACUAAUUAGUGUAUGAAAUAGCCCAGCCCAUAGAAAUGAACCAACCCAUAUUUAUGGAUUGCAUACUGUUUAUGGAAUGUGUAUCUCUCUCAGUGAACCUACUUUCACUUUACUAUGGCUCACUCUUGAAUUCUUUCUUGUGUGAAGCCAAGGACCCCCACUUGGUGGCCCAUCCCAGGACCUUGACUGAGACCUGGGACAUGACUACCCUGUUGCGUCCCAUUUUCCUGCAACAUCUUGACAAAGGAAGAAGAAGAAAGUGGUCUUUUCCCCUUCCCCAUUUUGCUUUGAUUAUAAAAACAUAGCCUGGGAUUCCUGUUGUGGCUCAGUGGGUUGAGAACACAACAUUGUCUCUGUGAUGAUGCAGGUUCGAUCCCUGGCCUUGCUCAGUGGUUAAGGAUCUGGUGUUGCUGCAAGCUGCUGCAAAGGCCCCAGAUGUGGCUCAGAUCUGGUAUUGCUGUGGCUGUGGCGUAGGCCUGCAGCUGCAGCUCUGAUUCGACCCUAGGCUGGGAACUUCGAUAUGCUGCAAGGGAGGUUAUAAAAAGAAAAAAAAUGUAGCCACUUAGUUCUCAGGGCAAAGCCCUCUUGCCUGCCCACUUUAUCCUUCACAAGUGUCCUAUGCUAAUAAAUCUACUUCUUACCCAUCGCUUUGCCUUUCACUGAAUUCCUUCUGCCCUGAGACAUAAAGAACCUGACUUCAUUAAGUCCUGAGAUGAGUUGUUCAUUUUCAUUGACAUGUAGGAUUGAUUCUCUCUCAUCUUUCAUAGCAUGUUCUUAGUAGAAAUUUACUGAAUUAAAUACAAAUAUCAUUUGAUUUAGUAUCAUGCUUUAUCACUUAACCACAUCCAGAAAACCUCAUUUUCGGUAGUCUAAGGCUUAAUCAUUGUAAUUUCAACAAAUGAUAUUUAGGAAUUUUCUAAAAAGGAUAAGUAUGUGCAAAAAUCCUUUUAAAAAUGUCUAGAAAUAUUUUUGUGAAUAUAUUUAAACAUAUUUCAUCCUUUAAUAUCUUGAUCCCAUAGCAAAACUCAGACAGAUAGAAAGGCAGGUAGGUAGGCAGGUAGAUAAAUGGAAAUAUUAUUUUUCAAGAGUGUUUCACCAUUUUGGAAUUUUCUUAAAGGCCUAAAUGGAAAACUCUAUUAUUUGAUAAAAUAAGUGUUUUCAAAAUUAAAUAUAUUCUAAACCUGCAACACAAUAUCACUAUUAGAUAUUUUCUAGAGCAUGUCAUUGCUCUGGGUCUCUGUUUUUGUUUUUAAUAUGAAGUUAAAUCAAUGUUCAAGAAUCUCCAUAAUUUUGUUGUGAUAAAAAUAUAAGUGGCUUAUCACAAUUUCUCAGUUAUCCAUGCUGUUGUAAAAAAGCCUCCAUUAUUGAUCCAAUCAUAGUCUUUUUUUUUUUUUUUUUUUUUUUUUUGCUUUUAGGGCUGCACCUGCAGCAUAGGGAGGUUACCAGGCUAGGGGUCCAAUCAGAGCUACAGCUGCCAGCCUGACACAGCCACAGCAACACCAGAUCCGAGCUGCAUCUGUGACCUACACCACAACUCAGGGCAAUGCCAGAUCCUUAACCCCCCGAGCAAGGCCAGGUAUUGAACCCGCAUCCUAGUGGUUCUAGUGGGAUUCUUUCCCACUGCGCCACAACAGGAACUCCAAAUUGUAGUCUUUUAAUUAAUAUUUUUUCAAGCCCAAGUUGUUAUUUUUAUUGUCAAGUUGUUAUCAAAUAAAAUUACUGGUUUAGUUUGACUUUUUUUUUUAUCCUAUCAGCCUUAAAUGAGUGACAAAGAAAAAUUUAAGAGAAGGAAAUAAAGGAUUUAUGUAAUUCACAAGUGAAAAUAUAAUCUGACCAUUCCCUGAAUGACUGAGGCAUAGAUAUGUAAAUGGGGACUAAAACAAGUCUCAGUGGUGAGAACCAAAUGAUACUGGAACAGAUUUUCCAUGUCUUCAGAGCACAUAAUCAAUCCCUUUGGGAAAUGUCAUUCUGGCUGUGUUAAGGUGUACCUGCCCCUGCCAGUCCUGAGGGUUUUGAGAUUCUCACAUUUAAGUCCUUUACAGUCAGAUGCACCAACUUCCAGAGCUGAUUAUUAGUUUCAAGAUUAUCCAGGCUGACAAGCUUGUUCUGUAGUCACAUCGUUUUGAGAAACACUGGCUAGAUCAUUCUAAAUAAGUCUGCUGUAGGACUUGUUAUUGGGCUAAAGUGUUUGUAGAACCUCUAAGAGAAGGAUAGAAUAUACAACAAAGGCAUAUAGUGUUUUUCAGAACUUAUAUUUUCUACAUAAUUCAACCACUUUUUUUCUUUUUUUGAGAGAGAGCUCAUUGUCCCUGUGUUCCAGAGGUGUGCUGGAGCUGGCUCCUUCUGGCUCCUGAAAGCCAGUUGUGUGCAUCACGUCCCACCUCCUCAGUGAUGUCCUUUAUUCUGGAAGCUAAAUGAAGAGACUGUUUCCAGGAAAAGAAAGUGAUCAUCCAUGUCAUGUGCUGCUGAUAUGUCAACGAAAAUGAGAACUGAAACUCAGCCUCUGGAUUUAGCAGCGUGAAGAUCAUUCACUUGGAGGAAAGCCAGCUGUCAUGUCAUUAGCUCGGGUAUUGAACAACUGAAACCUCCUGCCAACAGAUAUGUAAGUGAAUUUGGAGGCAGAUUCUUCAUCCCAGUCAAGCCUUCAAAUGACUGCAGCUCGAAGUGACAUCUUGACAGUAACCUCGAGAGAUUCCCUGAACUAAGCUGUUUCCUUGGACAUGAUGUGAGAUAACAAAGAGUUAAGAUACUAAGUGUUGGAGUAAUUUGUCAUUCAGCAAUAGAAACCUAAUACAUAUUUUGUAUUUUCUUUUGUCUUGAUCAAAACACAAGUGCCCCGAGGACUUUAUAAACAGUCAUAGUGGCCAUGUAGCUUAACCAAGCCACAAGCAUUUUAUGAGAAAAAAGCAAUAUGAAAAAUUUGAGAAUUAAAAUAAGUAUUCUAGGGAGUUCCCAUUGUGGCUCACAGGGUUAAGAACCCAACACCAUCUCCAUAAGGAUGUAGGUUUGAUCUACGGCCUUGCUCAGGAGUUCAAGGAUAUGGCAUUGCUGCAAGCUGCAGCAUAGGUUGCAGAUGCAGCUUGGAUCUGGUGUGUGGCUGUGGUUUAGGCCAGAAGCUGCAGUUCUUAUUCAGCCCCUAGCCUGGGAACUUACAUAUGCUGCAGGUGCAGCC